rnacentral:rRNA from 1 species
AACAAACGCUGGCGGCGUGCCUAAUACAUGCAAGUCGAACGGGUAGCAAUACCAGUGGCGCACGGGUGAGGAAUACAUAGAUAAUCUGCCUUCGAGUCGGGGAUAACCAGUCGAAAGAUUGGCUAAUACCGGAUAAGACCACAAGAUCUGCGGUUCUAGGGGUUAAAGGUUUUUCGCUUGAAGAUGAGUCUAUGCGAGAUUAGCUAGUUGGUGAGGUAAUGGCUCACCAAGGCGACGAUCUCUAACUGGUCUUAGAGGAUGAUCAGUCACACUGGAACUGAGACACGGUCCAGACUCCUACGGGAGGCAGCAGUAGGGUAUAUCGCGCAAUGGGGGAAACCCUGACGCAGCGACGCCGCGUGAGUGAUGAAGGCCUUCGGGUCGUAAAGCUCUGUCGUAUGGGAAUAACACAAUGAAUGUACCAUGCAAGAAAGGAUCGGCUAACUUCGUGCCAGCCGCCGCGGUAA